GGUCAUUUAGAGGAAGUAAAAGUCGUAACAAGGUUUCCGUA
rnacentral:rRNA from 1 species